rnacentral:rRNA from 1 species
CCUACGGGGCGCAGCAGUGAGGAAUAUUGGUCAAUGGACGAGAGUCUGAACCAGCCAAGUAGCGUGAAGGAUGACUGCCCUAUGGGUUGUAAACUUCUUUUAUAUGGAAAUAAAAUGUUCCACGUGUGGGAUUUUGUAUGUACCAUAUGAAUAAGGAUCGGCUAACUCCGUGCCAGCAGCCGCGGUAAUACGGAGGAUCCGAGCGUUAUCCGGAUUUAUUGGGUUUAAAGGGAGCGUAGGUGGAUUGUUAAGUCAGUUGUGAAAGUUUGCGGCUCAACCGUAAAAUUGCAGUUGAAACUGGCAGUCUUGAGUACAGUAGAGGUAGGCGGAAUGCGUGGUGUAGCGGUGAAAUGCUUAGAUAUCACGAAGAACUCCGAUUGCGAAGGCAGUUCACUGGACUGCAACUGACACUGAGGCUCGAAAGUGUGGGUAUCAAACAGGAUUAGAUACCCCAGUAGUC